AGAGUUUGAUCCUGGCUCAGAACGAACGCUGGCGGCGUGCUUAAUACAUGCAAGUCGAACGUGAAGUGUAGCAAUACAUGGAAAGUGGUGAACGGGUGAGUAACACGUAAGCAAUCUGCCUCUAAGAUUGGGAUAACCCUGCCAACGCGGGGCUAAUACCGGAUGUGGUCCGGAUGACGCAUGUUGUCUGGAUUAAAGGAGUGAUCCGCUUAGAGAUGAGCUUGCGUCCCAUUAGCUAGUUGGUGCGGGUAACGGCCCACCAAGGCUGCGAUGGGUAGCCGGCCUGAGAGGGUGAUCGGCCACAUUGGGACUGAGAUACGGCCCAGACUCCUACGGGAGGCAGCAGUAGGGAAUUUUGCGCAAUGGGCGAAAGCCUGGCGCAGCAACGCCGCGUGAGGGAUGACGGCCUUCGGGUUGUAAACCUCUGUUGAGUGGGAAAAAAGGGUAGCAAUACUUUGAUGGUACCAUUUGAGUAAGCACCGGCUAACUACGUGCCAGCAGCCGCGGUAAUACGUAGGGUGCAAGCGUUGUUCGGAAUCACUGGGCGUAAAGGGAGCGUAGGCGGGAUCGUAAGUUAGGAGUUUAAUGCAUGGGCUUAACCCAUGACUUGCUUUUAAUACUGCGGUUCUUGAGUAUGGGAGAGGGCGAUGGAAUUCCAGGUGUAGCGGUGGAAUGCGUAGAUAUCUGGAAGAACACCAGUAGCGAAAGGCGGUCGCCUGGCCUAAUACUGACGCUGAGGCUCGAAAGCUAGGGGAGCAAACAGGAUUAGAUACCCUGGUAGUCCUAGCCGUAAACGAUGGACACUAGUUGCUGGAGGAGUCAAUCCUUUCAGUGACCAAGCUAACGCGAUAAGUGUCCCGCCUGGGGAGUACGGUCGCAAGACUGAAACUCAAAUGAAUUGACGG
rnacentral:rRNA from 1 species